ACCCAAACACUCUGCUUGAAAACCCGGCGAUCUAUCGGAGCUAUCCGUAACUGAUCCGCCGAAGAAAAGUAGGUCCGGUACAUAAACAGAGUAUUUUUUAGUUAAUGCACCGAUUUGAAAUUGCCACGUCACUAUUCCUUCGCCGGCAAAGCCGUGGAUUAGUACGACCACGGGUUUGUUCGGGUCGGGUUCGGUGGUGGAAUCAGGGGAAAUAGCAUAUUGGUUGUUGGAGAG
rnacentral:misc_RNA from 1 species